rnacentral:rRNA from 1 species
AGGAUAGAGGCCUACCAUGGUGGUAACGGGUAACGGGGUGUUAGGGCACGACACNNNCGGAGAGGGAGCCUGAGAAACGGCUACCACAUCCAAGGAUGGCAGCAGGCGCGCAAAUUACCCAAUCCCGACACGGGGAGGUAGUGACAAUAAAUAACAAUACGGGGUUCUUUAGGAUCUCGUAAUUGGAAUGAGUACAAUUUAAAUCUCUUAACGAGGAACAAUUGGAGGGCAAGUCUGGUGCCAGCAGCCGCGGUAAUUCCAGCUCCAAUAGCGUAUAUUAAAGUUGUUGCAGUUAAAAAGCUCGUAGUUGAAUUUCGGGGUUAGUAGGUUGGUCAUGCCUCUGGUAUGUACUGGUCUCACUGAUUCCUCCUUCCUUAUGAACCGUAAUGCCAUUAAUUUGGUGUUGCGGGGAAUUUGGACUGUUACUUUGAAAAAAUUAGAGUGUUUAAAGCAAGCUAACGCUUGAAUACAUUAGCAUGGAAUAAUGAAAUAGGACGUUCGAUCUUAUUUUGUUGGUUUCUAGGAUUGACGUAAUGAUUAAUAGGGAUAGUUGGGGGCAUUAGUAUUCAAUUGUCAGAGGUGAAAUUCUUGGAUUUAUUGAAGACUAACUACUGCGAAAGCAUUUGCCAAGGAUGUUUUCAUUAAUCAAGAACGAAAGUUAGGGGAUCGAAGACGAUCAGAUACCGUCGUAGUCUUAACCAUAAACUAUGCCGACUAGGGAUCGGAUGA